AGAGGAGAUUGGAGUUGAGAAGAUAGAGGACAUGCUGGUGAUGCUUGUGGAGAAGAAAUACCAUGUAGCCACUGGCGCCUCCCAUAGCACCCUGAAACACUGUAUCUCUCAGGACCAUGAGGAUUAAAAAAAUCCAUUUUAUAUCCUGAUUUUGUAGUGUAAAAUAGCAAUAAUUCUCAUCAUUUAUAUGUUGUGAUAUAUUCAGACUUGUACUUCUAAUGAAAUGGAUUAGGUUCGUACUGAUUAAACCAUUGAGUAUCCAAAAGAAUGAGAAGAAUGGAAGAAUGUGCCAUGCAGACUUUGGCUUGAGCCUCCUCCACCCAGAUGCUCUGGGACUGAUAAUGAUGGCCUGGACCACAGUGAGGAGACUGCUGGUGCAGAUGGAGAGGCCACGGGCCACCCUCUCCAGGUAGAAAAACUUGCAUGCAGUAUGUAUAUGCUUUUUGAAGGAAGCCUCUGCAAUCCUAGACAUGGGUUUGGAUAGCACGUUUUGCACAGUAGCAUUUUCUGGAGUUCACAAAGCAGGGACAGAGACAGGAAACCUCUCUGAUGAUGCCUAAAUAACACACUGAUGUAGGACCAUAGAAGAAUAUCAUUAGGAAUCAUUUUACUGAU
ensembl:antisense